GGGAGUAUAGCUUAGUGGUAGAGUGCUUGCCUAGCAUGCAGGAAGCCCUGGGUUCAAUUCCUCAGUACCACUU
rnacentral:tRNA from 1 species